UCCGCAGCAACUCAAAAGAGCCUUCGGCUGUUAACCGAAGGGUUGUAGGUUCGAGUCCUACCUGAGGAGCCA
rnacentral:tRNA from 1 species